rnacentral:rRNA from 1 species
GGCAGGCCUAAUACAUGCAAGUCGAGCGGCCCUUCGGGGCAGCGGCGGACGGGUGAGUAACGCGUGGGAACGUGCCCUUUGGUACGGGAUAACUGAGGGAAACUUCAGCUAAUACCGUAUGUGCCCUACGGGGGAAAGAUUUAUCGCCAUUGGAGCGGCCCGCGUUGGAUUAGCUAGUUGGUGGGGUAAAGGCUCACCAAGGCUACGAUCCAUAGCUGGUCUGAGAGGAUGAUCAGCCACACUGGGACUGAGACACGGCCCAGACUCCUACGGGAGGCAGCAGUAGGGAAUCUUGCGCAAUGGGCGAAAGCCUGACGCAGCCAUGCCGCGUGAAUGAUGAAGGUCUUAGGAUUGUAAAAUUCUUUCACCGGGGAAGAUAAUGACGGUACCCGGAGAAGAAGCCCCGGCUAACUUCGUGCCAGCAGCCGCGGUAAUACGAAGGGGGCUAGCGUUGCUCGGAAUUACUGGGCGUAAAGGGCGCGUAGGCGGAUGUUUAAGUCGGGGGUGAAAGCCCGGGGCUCAACCUCGGAAUUGCCUUCGAUACUGGACAUCUUGAGUACGGGAGAGGUGAGUGGAACUCCGAGUGUAGAGGUGAAAUUCGUAGAUAUUCGGAAGAACACCAGUGGCGAAGGCGACUC